rnacentral:rRNA from 1 species
GAUGAACGCUAGCGGCAGGCUUAACACAUGCAAGUCGAGGGGCAGCGCGGGGCGGCAACGUCCUGGCGGCGACCGGCGGAAGGGUGCGUAACGCGUGAGCGACAUGCCCGUUGCCCGGGGACAACCGGUGGAAACGCCGACUAAUCCCCGAUGGGACGGAGGCCCUCAUGGGUCUCUGUUGAAAGUUACGGCGGCGACGGAUUGGCUCGCGUCCGAUUAGCUUGUUGGCGGGUAACGGCCCACCAAGGCUACGAUCGGUAGGGGUUCAGAGAGGAAGGUCCCCCACAAUGGAACUGAGACACGGUCCAUACUCCUACGGGAGGCAGCAGUGAGGAAUAUUGGUCAAUGGGCGAAGCCUGAACCAGCCAUGCCGCGUGCGGGAAGGAGGCCCUAUGGGCUGUGAACCGCUUUUGCCUGGGGCAAUAAGGGCGUCGCGCACGUCCGAUGAGAGUACCAGGGGGAAUAAGCAUCGGCUAACUCCGUG